GCUUCUUGGGUCAGCAGAGGGAAAAAAGCACACAUAGGAAUGGGGUCACAAAUGGGCCCCUGCGCAUUAAUUAGGUUUCCACAUAAAGUCGUAGGGCCUCCUCCAGCACUUUUGCGCCGGCAAAGAUGGAGGCAUUUGGCUUACUCAUCUUGGGGUUGACAUUCUCUAUUGAGUGUUUCCUCCGGCAAUUCAUUCUUGGCUUUGGAUACUUGGUAACUUGGUGUAUUUUCAUAGGUGAGAGAGGAAGAUAUGAUGAGGAUCUUCAUGGAAUCCCAUUUCACUUCCACUCACCGCUUGUGUAAAAUAGCAAAACUUCUGUACGUACGUUUUGGGAAAUAGUAGCACAUGUAAUAACUACAAGUGUGUAGACUUUUUUCGUUUGUGGCAGAAAGGGUUAACCUCCUGCUGCCUGCUGAUGUACCCUAGCAUUUUAACAACGUUAAAGAGAUGGUGGUGGUGGGUUUUCCUUGUUUUUUUCACUUCUCUUCAAAUAAUGUUUUAAGAAUGGUUUCAUUCCCAUUUUUGCUUACAUUUUUCACCAUAUAAGGUUAUUCCUACAUCCUAUUUUCUUUGCAUUGCUGCUGUUAUUCAAGUGUUGGAAAUUUCAUUAUGUUUAUGAAAGAUGAUUAUGAGAGAAGGGUGCUC
rnacentral:misc_RNA from 1 species